GCUUGCUACCUGACCUAGCGGCGGACGGGUGAGUAAUGCUUAGGAAUCUGCCUAUUAGUGGGGGACAACAUUCCGAAAGGAAUGCUAAUACCGCAUACGUCCUACGGGAGAAAGCAGGGGAUCCUCGGACCUUGCGCUAAUAGAUGAGCCUAAGUCAGAUUAGCUAGUUGGUGGGGUAAAGGCCUACCAAGGCGACGAUCUGUAGCGGGUCUGAGAGGAUGAUCCGCCACACUGGGACUGAGACACGGCCCAGACUCCUACGGGAGGCAGCAGUGGGGAAUAUUGGACAAUGGGCGAAAGCCUGAUCCAGCCAUGCCGCGUGUGUGAAGAAGGCCUUUUGGUUGUAAAGCACUUUAAGCGAGGAGGAGGCUACUGAGAUUAAUACUCUUGGAUAGUGGACGUUACUCGCAGAAUAAGCACCGGCUAACUCUGUGCCAGCAGCCGCGGUAAUACAGAGGGUGCGAGCGUUAAUCGGAUUUACUGGGCGUAAAGCGUGCGUAGGCGGCUUUUUAAGUCGGAUGUGAAAUCCCUGAGCUUAACUUAGGAAUUGCAUUCGAUACUGGGAAGCUAGAGUAUGGGAGAGGAUGGUAGAAUUCCAGGUGUAGCGGUGAAAUGCGUAGAGAUCUGGAGGAAUACCGAUGGCGAAGGCAGCCAUCUGGCCUAAUACUGACGCUGAGGUACGAAAGCAUGGGGAGCAAACAGGAUUAGAUACCCUGGUAGUCCAUGCCGUAAACGAUGUCUACUAGCCGUUGGGGCCUUUGAGGCUUUAGUGGCGCAGCUAACGCGAUAAGUAGACCGCCUGGGGAGUACGGUCGCAAGACUAAAACUCAAAUGAAUUGACGGGGGCCCGCACAAGCGGUGGAGCAUGUGGUUUAAUUCGAUGCAACGCGAAGAACCUUACCUGGUCUUGACAUAGUAAGAACUUUCCAGAGAUGGAUUGGUGCCUUCGGGAACUUACAUACAGGUGCUGCAUGGCUGUCGUCAGCUCGUGUCGUGAGAUGUUGGGUUAAGUCCCGCAACGAGCGCAACCCUUUUCCUUAUUUGCCAGCGGGUUAAGCCGGGAACUUUAAGGAUACUGCCAGUGACAAACUGGAGGAAGGCGGGGACGACGUCAAGUCAUCAUGGCCCCUACGACCAGGGCUACACACGUGCUACAAUGGUCGGUACAAAGGGUUGCUACCUAGCGAUAGGAUGCUAAUCUCAAAAAGCCGAUCGUAGUCCGGAUUGGAGUCUGCAACUCGACUCCAUGAAGUCG
rnacentral:rRNA from 1 species